UCUGAGCCGGAGGAAAGGAGGUGACGAGGUGGAGGCGGGUGGAAUCGGUCCCGGGGAAGAGGCUGGGAGAGCAGGCGUGGAGGAGGGAGACAGGAAGACGGGAAGAAGAAAGGGAAAAACGGAUACAAAGAGAAGACGGGCAUUUGUAAACCAGGAAGAGGGUCUUCACCAAGAACCGGACCAUGCUGGCAACCUGAUCUCAGACUUGCAGCUUCCAGAGAGAAAUAAACAUUUCUUGUUUAAGCCA